AUUGAACGCUGGCGGCAGGCUUAACACAUGCAAGUCGAGCGGGGUGAUGGUGCUUGCACUAUCACUUAGCGGCGGACGGGUGAGUAAUGCUUAGGAAUCUGCCUAUUAGUGGGGGACAACAUCUCGAAAGGGAUGCUAAUACCGCAUACGUCCUACGGGAGAAAGCAGGGGAUCACUUGUGACCUUGCGCUAAUAGAUGAGCCUAGGUCGGAUUAGCUAGUUGGUGGGGUAAAGUCCUACCAAGGCGACGAUCUGUAGCGGGUCUGAGAGGAUGAUCCGCCACACUGGGACUGAGACACGGCCCAGACUCCUACGGGAGGCAGCAGUGGGGAAUAUUGGACAAUGGGGGGAGCCCUGAUCCAGCCAUGCCGCGUGUGUGAAGAAGGCCUUAUGGUUGUAAAGCACUUUAAGCGAGGAGGAGGCUCUUUUGGUUAAUACCCAAGAUGAGUGGACGUUACUCGCAGAAUAAGCACCGGCUAACUCUGUGCCAGCCGCCGCUGUAA
rnacentral:rRNA from 1 species